UACGAGGGGGGCAAGCGUUGUUCGGAAUUAUUGGGCGUAAAGGGCACGUAGGCGGUGCGGUAAGUCACCUGUGAAAUCUCUGGGCUCAACUCAGAGUCUGCAGGCGAAACUGCCGUGCUGGAGUAUGGGAGAGGUGCGUGGAAUUCCCGGUGUAGCGGUGAAAUGCGUAGAGAUGUGGAGGAACACCGAUGGCGAAGGCAGCCCCCUGGGCUAACACUGACGCUCAUGCACGAAAGCGUGGGGAGCAAACAGG
rnacentral:rRNA from 1 species